UUUGAAAUCUGGCUCCGGCCCGAGUUGUAAUUUGCAGAGGAAGCUUCUGGUGAUGUACCGUCUAAGUCCCCUGGAACGGGGCGCCACAGUGGGUGAGAGCCCCAUUUGACGGAUGCAGAUCCUGUGUGAAGCUCCUUCGACGAGUCGAGUAGUUUGGGAAUGCUGCUCAAAAUGGGAGGUAAAUUCCUUCUAAAGCUAAAUAUUGGCCAGAGACCGAUAGCGCACAAGUAGAGUGAUCGAAAGAUGAAAAGCACUUUGAAAAGAGGGUUAAACAGCACGUGAAAUUGUUGAAAGGGAAGCGCUUGUGACCAGACUUGCGCUGGGCUGAUCAUCCGGUGUUCUCACCGGUGCACUCGGCCCAGCUCAGGCCAGCAUCGGUUUUGGUGGGGGGAUAAAGGCGCCGGGAACGUAGCUCCUUCGGGAGUGUUAUAGCCCAGCGUGCAAUGCCCCCGCUGGGACCGAGGUUCGCGCAUCUGCAAGGAUGCUGGCGUAAUGGUCAUCAGCGACCCGUCUUGAAACACGGACCAAGGAGUCAAGGUUUUGCGCGAGUGUUUGGGUGUCAAACCCGCACGCGUAAUGAAAGUGAACGUAGGUGAGAGCUUCGGCGCAUCAUCGACCGAUCCUGAUGUAUUCGGAUGGAUUUGAGUAGGAGCGUUAAGCCUUGGACCCGAAAGAUGGUGAACUAUGCUUGGAUAGGGUGAAGCCAGAGGAAACUCUGGUGGAGGCUCGCAGCGGUUCUGACGUGCAAAUCGAUCGUCAAAUCUGAGCAUGGGGGCGAAAGACUAAUCGAACCAUCUAGUAGCUGGUUACCGCCGAAGUUUCCCUCAGGAUAGCAGUGUUGUUCUUCAGUUUUAUGAGGUAAAGCGAAUGAUUAGGGACUCGGGGGCGAUUUAUAGCCUUCAUCCAUUCUCAAAUUUAAAUAUGUAAGAAGCUCUUGUUACUUAAUUGAACGUGAGCAUUCGAAUGUACCAACACUAGUGGGCCAUUUUUGGUAAGCAGAACUGGCGAUGCGGGAUGAACCGAACGCGGGGUUAAGGUGCCGGAGUGGACGCUCAUCAGACACCACAAAAGGCGUUAGUACAUCUUGACAGCAGGACGGUGGCCAUGGAAGUCGGAAUCCGCUAAGGACUGUGUAACAACUCACCUGCCGAAUGUACUAGCCCUGAAAAUGGAUGGCGCUCAAGCGUCCCACCCAUACCCCGCCCUCAGGGUAGAAA
rnacentral:rRNA from 1 species